UACGGGGGGGGCAAGCGUUGUUCGGAAUUACUGGGCGUAAAGGGCUCGUAGGCGGCCAACUAAGUCGGACGUGAAAUCCCUCGGCUUAACCGGGGAACUGCGUCCGAUACUGGAUGGCUUGAGUUUGGGAGAGGGAUGCGGAAUUCCAGGUGUAGCGGUGAAAUGCGUAGAUAUCUGCAGGAACACCGGUGGCGAAGGCGGCUAUCUGGACGACAACUGACGCUGAGGCGCGAAAGCGUGGGGAUCAAACAGG
rnacentral:rRNA from 1 species